rnacentral:lncRNA from 10 species
CAACUUCAUAGUUUCUAACAUUUAUUCUUCUGGGGUCCGCUUUGGUUCUCUCAUUUGACGUCAUCUUUUUUGGCUUCAUCCAGCUGAUUCACAUUGGUAGAAAUACUUUUCUAUGUUACUUGUAGUCAUGUGAAACCUAAUCUCACCCUUGCAAUCUGGACUGCAUGUUUUAUAGAAUCUAUAUUGUGAUUUUUCAUGUGUAUAUUCCUGUCAUGUUUGUUUGCUAACCAAAACAAGAGCAAAGCAACCCAAAGCCUAAUGGGUAACAAUUUCAAGGGCAAGCACGAAGAUUUCAGCUGGAUACAAACACUGCAUGAUUG